CAGCAGCCGCGGUAAUACAGAGGGUGCGAGCGUUAAUCGGAUUUACUGGGCGUAAAGCGUGCGUAGGCGGCUAAUUGAGUCGGAUGUGAAAUCCCCGAGCUUAACUUGGGAAUUGCAUUCGAUACUGGUUAGCUAGAGUGUGGGAGAGGAUGGUAGAAUUCCAGGUGUAGCGGUGAAAUGCGUAGAGAUCUGGAGGAAUACCGAUGGCGAAGGCAGCCAUCUGGCCUAACACUGACGCUGAGGUACGAAAGCAUGGGGAGCAAACAGGAUUAGAGACCCCCGUAGUCCCUGUCUCUUAUAU
rnacentral:rRNA from 1 species